CACUGUUUCGGCUAGGGGGUCAUCCCGACUUACCAAACCGAUGCAAACUCCGAAUACCUACAAGUGCCGAGCAUGGGAGACACACGGCGGGUGCUAACGUCCGUCGUGAAGAGGGAAACAACCCAGACCGCCAGCUAAGGUCCCAAAGUACCAGUUAAGUGGGAAACGAUGUGGGAAGGCUCAGACAGCUAGGAGGUUGGCUUAGAAGCAGCCAUCCUUUAAAGAAAGCGUAAUAGCUCACUAGUCGAGUCGGCCUGCGCGGAAGAUGUAACGGGGCUCAAACUGGUCACCGAAGCUGCGGCUGCAUACUUUGUAUGCGGGGUAGGGGAGCGUUCUGUAAGCCUGUGAAGGUGUGUUGAGAAGCAUGCUGGAGGUAUCAGAAGUGCGAAUGCUGACAUGAGUAACGACAAUGCGGGUGAAAAACCCGCACGCCGGAAGACCAAGGGUUCCUGCGCAACGCUAAUCGGCGCAGGGUGAGUCGGCCCCUAAGGCGAGACCGAAAGGUGUAGUCGAUGGGAAACGGGUUAAUAUUCCCGUACCUUGGAUAGCUGCGAUGGAGAGACGGAGAAGGCUAGGUGAGCCGGGCGACGGUUGUCCCGGUUUAAGCAUGUAGGCGGAGGUUCCAGGUAAAUCCGGUACCUUUUAACGCUGAGGUGUGAUGACGAGGCACUACGGUGCUGAAGUAACAAAUGCCCUGCUUCCAGGAAAAGCCUCUAAGCUUCAGGUAACUAGGAACCGUACCCCAAACCGACACAGGUGGUCAGGUAGAGAAUACCAAGGCGCUUGAGAGAACUCGGGUGAAGGAACUAGGCAAAAUGGCACCGUAACUUCGGGAGAAGGUGCGCCGGUGAGGGUGAAGGACUUGCUCCGUAAGCUCAUGCCGGUCGAAGAUACCAGGCCGCUGCGACUGUUUAUUAAAAACACAGCACUCUGCAAACACGAAAGUGGACGUAUAGGGUGUGACGCCUGCCCGGUGCCGGAAGGUUAAUUGAUGGGGUUAGCGCUUGCGCGAAGCUCUUGAUCGAAGCCCCGGUAAACGGCGGCCGUAACAAUAACGGUCCUAAGGUAG
rnacentral:rRNA from 1 species